GAUUAUUUGCCUGUCACCAUUUGCUUGUGACACACCUUUGUGAAUAUGCAAGGUUAAGUAUUGUCAAUUUAAUUUACUUUAAUAACUCCUUUGAUAUUAUUUGCUUGAAUUGUUGUCUAGUGAUCUGAGAAAACAGCUUUCUAGGCACCCUAUAUUAGAUGAGUGGGCAGAAUACUACGUUGGCGACAGGUUAUACUAAGAACCCAGUCCCUGGCAGCCAUAGACAUUUUUGCUGGCUCUUAAUUCUCUCUUGUCUUUUCUUUGCAGGGGUAUUUAAUUUCUUUCUGCCAGCACUAGAUGCAAUGCAACUAGUGCAGAUGUUUGUUUCAGAGUCAGCAAAUAUCCUAUUUGACAAACACGGUACAGCAGGUCCUGGUCCACCAAACGACUAAAGCAGCACAUGCAACACCUACUCCAAGUUCUGUACCACCUUUUCGCUAGUUUCGUGAACUAGAAGAGGAUUGGCUCAAGUGGUUGCAACAGUUUGAAGCUCACUUAAUUGCUCACAACGUACCACAUUCACCUAUCCCAAGGACACCAAGGCCACAGCAGCCACCAGAGGGUGUUAUCACGACACCGCAGGACAACCCCACAGAGAUGGAGCCUUCGCCUCCUCUCGUCCUACUGAUGGAGCUGGACCCACUCACACUUCAGCAGCCGAUGCCUUCUACAUCUGGUUAUUGGCCUUUAGAGGUUGACGCGUACCCGUCUGGUCAUUUUCCGGGACAUGUUUUCACCACAGCAAAUGCCAGAUUUCAGGGUACAACUGGAAGCUUGAUGGCCCCUGCAGUCACAGCUUCCAGUCACACUCCCUACACAACGGCUGUCCGUCACUUUGGCAGUGAGGAAUGUUCCGGCAUAACGACAAGCACCAGUGCAAUGAUGAAGUAUGGAAGAGCAGAGAGGGCUGUGAGACACCGUCAGCCAAUAGCACGCUGACUAGCAUGACACCAACACAGGAGCGGCAUCUACACGAACAGAAUAUGUGUUGCGUCACCUAGCCAUAACCACAGUAGAAGACGAGCCAUCAUACAAACACCACAGCGGUGACUUUUGAACUGAAUUGUUUUGCUUGCAUUGAAAUUGUAUAUAACGAAAGACAUUGAUUAUUUGCCUGUCGCCAUUUACUUGCAACACACUUUUGUGAAUACACAAAGUUAAGUAUUGUCAAUUUAA